UGAGGAAUAUUGGACAAUGGGCGCAAGCCUGAUCCAGCCAUGCCGCGUGCAGGAUGACGGUCCUAUGGAUUGUAAACUGCUUUUGUACAGGAAGAAACAGUUCUACGUGUAGAACCUUGACGGUACUGUAAGAAUAAGGAUCGGCUAACUCCGUGCCAGCAGCCGCGGUAAUACGGAGGAUCCAAGCGUUAUCCGGAAUCAUUGGGUUUAAAGGUCCGUAGGCGGUUAGAUAAGUCAGUGGUGAAAGCCCAUCGCUCAACGGUGGAACGGCCAUUGAUACUGAUGUUCUUGAGUACAGAUGGGGUAGGCGGAAUGUAUCAUGUAGCGGUGAAAUGCUUAGAUAUGAUACAGAACACCAAUCGCGAAGGCAGCUUACCAAACUGUUACUGACACUGAGGCACGAAAGCAUGGGUAGCGAACAGGAUUAGAUACCCACGUAGUCCCUGAGCGGGCUGGCAAGGCGCAU
rnacentral:rRNA from 1 species